rnacentral:rRNA from 1 species
CCAGACUCCUACGGGAGGCAGCAGUGGGGAAUAUUGCACAAUGGGGGAAACCCUGAUGCAGCAACGCCGCGUGAGUGAGGAAGUAUUUCGGUAUGUAAAGCUCUAUCAGCAGGGAAUAGAAAAGAAGGUACCUGAAAAAGAAGCCCCGGCUAACUACGUGCCAGCAGCCGCGGUAAUACGUAGGGGGCAAGCGUUAUCCGGAUUUACUGGGUGUAAAGGGAGCGUAGACGGCAGCGCAAGUCUGAAGUGAAAUGCCGGGGCUUAACCCCGGAACUGCUUUGGAAACUGAGCAGCUAGAGUGCAGGAGAGGUAAGUGGAAUUCCUAGUGUAGCGGUGAAAUGCGUAGAUAUUAGGAGGAACACCAGUGGCGAAGGCGGCUUGCUGGACAGAGACUGACGUUGAGGCUCGAAAGCGUGGGGAGCAAACAGGAUUAGAUACCCCCGUACA